UCUUGCCAUACCACCUUGAACGCGCCCAAUCUCAUCUGAUCUCAGAAGCUAAGUAGGGUCGGGCCUGGUUAGUGCUUGGAUGGGAGACCACAGGAGGACUGUAUAUAUACUCUAGAA
ensembl:rRNA 5S_rRNA 5S ribosomal RNA